rnacentral:rRNA from 1 species
GCUGUCGUCAGCUCGUGUCGUGAGAUGUUGGGUUAAGUCCCGUAACGAGCGCAACCCUUGUCCUUAGUUACCAGCACCUCGGGUGGGCACUCUAAGGAGACUGCCGGUGACAAACCGGAGGAAGGUGGGGAUGACGUCAAGUCAUCAUGGCCCUUACGGCCAGGGCUACACACGUGCUACAAUGGUCGGUACAAAGGGUUGCCAAGCCGCGAGGUGGAGCUAAUCCCAUAAAACCGAUCGUAGUCCGGAUCGCAGUCUGCAACUCGACUGCGUGAAGUCGGAAUCGCUAGUAAUCGUGAAUCAGAAUGUCACGGUGAAUACGUUCCCGGGCCUUGUACACACCGCCCGUCACACCAUGGGAGUGGGUUGCUCCAGAAGUAGCUAGUCUAACCGCAAGGGGGACGGUUACCACGGAGUGAUUCAUGACUGGGGUGAAGUCGUAACAAGGUAGCCGUAGGGGAACCUGCGGCUGGAUCACCUCCUUA